UACAGAGGGUGCAAGCGUUAAUCGGAAUUACUGGGCGUAAAGCGUGCGUAGACGGUUAUGUAAGUCAGAUGUGAAAGCCCCGGGCUCAACCUGGGAAUUGCAUUUGAGACUGCAUAGCUAGGGUGCGGAAGAGGGAAGCGGAAUUUCCGGUGUAGCGGUGAAAUGCGUAGAUAUCGGAAGGAGCACCAGUGGCGAAAGCGGCUUCCUGGUCCAGCACCGACGUUCAGGCACGAAAGCGUGGGGAGCAAACAGG
rnacentral:rRNA from 1 species